UCAGGCACACUUCUCUAGUAGCCCACAACACCUUGCUUAGCCACACCCUCAAGGGACUUCAGCAGUGAUAAAUAUUAAGCCAUAAGUGAAAACUUGACUUAGUUAAGGCUACAUAGGGCCGGUAAAACUCGUGCCAGCCACCGCGGUUAUACGAGAGACCCAAGUUGACAGACAAUCGGCGUAAAGAGUGGUUAAGUACUACACUUCACUAAAGCUAAACACCUUCAAAGCUGUUAUACGCACCCGAAGGCCAGAAACCCAAUCACGAAAGUGGCUUUAAACUAACCGAACCCACGAAAGCUAGGGUACAAACUGGGAUUAGAUACCCCACUAUGCCUAGCCUUAAACAUUGAUAAUAAUUUACAAUUAUUAUCCGCCCGGGAACUACGAGCACCAGCUUAAAACCCAAAGGACUUGGCGGUGCUUUAGACCCACCUAGAGGAGCCUGUUCUAGAACCGAUAACCCCCGUUCAACCUCACCCUUCCUUGUUCCUCCC
rnacentral:rRNA from 1 species